AAAAAUAUUUAAGUGGCCCAUGUGAGACAGAGGAUUGAAAUACAUUUUCUUCUUCAUCCACAUUCCUCUAGACAACACAGGAGAAACUACCCAGAAGGCACACCCAACUGGACAGAUCCGGCAUUUAACAAUUAGAAACGAAGUUUUACAAACGAUGAAUGAGUAAGCAUCAGAAUCACAUUUCCUCUGCCUACCUUGACCCUCACACACCAGCCUAAUCAAUGAGGGAACAGCACGUGAGAAGCUCCUACAAUGGAAACUGAGUUAGAAGACCUGAAAGAACGUCAGUGUGCCCAGAGAAAAGUGAUCCAAAGGAGAGUGGCACGAGGAGAGGUCUGAAAACCCACAGGCCAGAUGUCGCCGGGUUGUGUCUGGGUUAGCUCACAUCUGCAUGAUGUGGUGGAAAACAUUCGCAGACAAUGAAAUGAUCCAUAACCUGAACCUCUUCAGUGGAAGCAGAAGGUCAGAGCCUGAGGGAACAAGCAGAACGUCCAAGUCAACACCCACCUCCCCUCCAAGAAAGGGUAUUAGAAAAGGGCGUGACAUCAGCAAGGUGGCCAAGUAAGACAUCCCCACCCUGUCUCCCAACAACAAUCUGGCAUCUAUCCAUGUACAAAAGUGCCUUUGUGGGAGCUUUGGGACUGGGUCAGAGAUUGUGAAACCCUGGUA